rnacentral:rRNA from 1 species
AUUGAACGCUGGCGGCAUGCCUUACUCAUGCAAGUCGAACGGCAGCGGGGGAGAAGCUUGCUUUUCCUGCCGGCGAGUGGCGAACGGGCGAGUAAUACAUCGGAACGUGCCCUGUAGUGGGGGAUAACUAGUCGAAAGAUUAGCUAAUACCGCAUACGACCUGAGGGUGAAAGUGGGGGACCGCAAGGCCUCAUGCUAUAGGAGCGGCCGAUGUCUGAUUAGCUAGUUGGUGGGGUAAAGGCCUACCAAGGCGACGAUCAGUAGCUGGUCUGAGAGGACGAUCAGCCACACUGGGACUGAGACACGGCCCAGACUCCUACGGGAGGCAGCAGUGGGGAAUUUUGGACAAUGGGCGAAAGCCUGAUCCAGCAAUGCCGCGUGUGUGAAGAAGGCCUUCGGGUUGUAAAGCACUUUUGUCCGGAAAGAAAUGGCUCUGGUUAAUACCUGGGGUCGAUGACGGUACCGGAAGAAUAAGGACCGGCUAACUACGUGCCAGCCGCCGCCGUAA